rnacentral:rRNA from 1 species
UACGUAGGGUGCAAGCGUUUAUCCGGAAUCACUGGGCGUAAAGCGUCUGUAGGUGGUUUAAAAAAGUCCACUGUUAAAGAUUGAAGCUUAACUUCAAAAAAUUGCCGUGGAAACUUUUUAAACUUGAGUAUGAUAGGGGUAGAGGGAAUUUCCAGUGGAGCGGUGAAAUGCGUAGAUAUUGGAAAGACCACCAAUGGCGAAGGCACUCUACUGGGCCAUUACUGACACUGAGAGACGAAAGCUAGGGGAGCAAAUGGG